rnacentral:rRNA from 1 species
UACGGAGGGAGCUAGCGUUAUUCGGAAUUACUGGGCGUAAAGCGCACGUAGGCGGCUUUGUAAGUCAGAGGUGAAAGCCUGGAGCUCAACUCCAGAACUGCCUUUGAGACUGCAUCGCUUGAAUCCAGGAGAGGUGAGUGGAAUUCCGAGUGUAGAGGUGAAAUUCGUAGAUAUUCGGAAGAACACCAGUGGCGAAGGCGACUCACUGGACACGUAUUGACGCUGAGGUGCGAAAGCGUGGGGAGCAAACAGG